rnacentral:rRNA from 1 species
UACGGGGGGAGCAAGCGUUGUUCGGAUUUACUGGGCGUAAAGGGCGUGCAGGCGGUCUGUUAAGUGCAGGGUGAAAGCUCCCGGCUCAACUGGGAGAGGUCCUUGCAUACUGGCGGACUUGAGGGGGGUAGAGGAAAGUGGAAUUCCCGGUGUAGUGGUGAUAUGCGUAGAUAUCGGGAGGAACACCUGUGGCGAAGGCGGCUUUCUGGGCCCUACCUGACGCUGAGACGCGAAAGCGUGGGGAGCGAACCGG